AUGAACGCUGGCGGCGUGCCUAAUACAUGCCAGUCGCGCGAACAGACGAGGAGCUUGCUGCUCUGACGUUAGCGGCGGACGGGUGAGUAACACGUGGAUAACCUACCUAUAAGACUGGGAUAACUUAGGGAAACCGGCGCUAAUACCGGAUAAUAUAUUGCACCGCAUGGUUCCAUAGUGAAAGACGGUUUUGCUGUCACUUAUAGAUGGAUCUGCGCCGCAUUAGCUAGUUGGUAAGGUAACGGCUUACCAAGGCGACGAUGCGUAGCCGAUCUGAGAGGGUGAUCGGCCACACUGGAACUGAGACACGGUCCAGACUCCUACGGGAGGCAGCAGUAGGGAAUCUUCCGCAAUGGGCGAAAGCCUGACGGAGCAACGCCGCGUGAGUGAUGAAGGUCUUCGGAUCGUAAAACUCUGUUAUUAGGGAAGAACAAAUGUGUAAGUAACUAUGCACGUCUUGACGGUACCUAAUCAGAAAGCCACGGCUAACUACGUG
rnacentral:rRNA from 1 species